UAUGUCUACCAUCACGAUGGCUAAAGUAUGUACUAAGCGGCUGCUGGAUAAGUUUAAGAAAAACAUCAGAUGGAGAUUAAAUGGAGAUGAAAACCCAGAAAAUCUCACAGCAUCUCCAUUGUCAAAGGCCGACUUACUAAUUAUAGGUUCUGUAUAUCAGGAGAGCCCAUACCAGCCCAUAAAAGCCCAUCAAAAGCCUUGGACGAUGGUACACUGCAGAGCUUAAAGACUCAAACAGGUGGAACAACUCAGGCAAGAGAAGGUCAGUGGACUCAAGAGAAUCAAUGUUAUGGCUCUUCCAGGGAAGUUGAAGCUGUGGUGCUUCCAAUUUGGUUUGUUGCCACGUCUUAUGUGGCCAAUUCCCAUAUACAAGCUCACUUUAUCUCAUGCCAAGCACCUGGAGAGACUGGUGAGUACACAAGUGAGGAAAUGGAUUGGGCUACCAAGAUGUCCUAGCAACAUAGGGCUGUACGGCAAUGGAGCUCUCUCUCAAAUGAGCCAAAUGAGCCACAAGCAAGAAUCAAGCGAUCCCUGCGUAAGAGAUGCUGCUCCAACUUUGGCAACAGGGAAGAAAUGGAAUCCAGUUACAGCAGUUGCUGAUGCAAAGGCGGUCCUCAGACAACAGGAUAUUGUCCAAUAUGGCAGAGGAGGACUUGGGUUGGGAAUAAUAACACCAAAAUGGCAAAAGGCAACACCAAAGGAACAGAGACAUCUGGUGGUGGAGGAGGUACGCCAUCAGGAGGAAGCAACUAGAUGCACCGGAGCAGUCUCCCAAGCCCAACAAGGCACCUGGAUGAAGCGGGUAGAUUUAGAACGACUUAAAAUCACUUGGAGUGAGCUGUGGAGCAUUGAAACAAACAGGCAAAGUUUUAUUUUAUUUGACGUGCAGCCCUCUCCAACAAAUUUGCAGGUAUGGUGUGGACAAGACCUAGCCUGCCACCUGUGUGCAGCCCCAGCAAACCAUAGACAUAUUCUGGUGGGUUGUAAGAACAGCCUGACCAGGGAAG
ensembl:lncRNA